ensembl:lncRNA
AGCCCGGCAGAGAGCUGGAGGGUCGCCCAGAAAGAAUACCCACCUGUGACACAGAGAGGGCUCUAGAAUUUGGCAGACAUGAGGAUUCCGGUUCUGUGUCCCGGGCAGGGACAUGUCACCAGGCCUCCCCCAGCAUCCCCAGGACACAACACAUCCCUAGACUCUCGUCCUGCCUCAGCUCCAGUCCCCGCUGACAUGACUGUCUGCUGAGAAGUGCGUGGCGAGGGGCCACGGUGUUUGUGGAGCAGAGCUAGCCGCCUCUGUUCCUUGGGCUGAGCAAAAAGGACUCCAUGUGCCCUCACUGCCCCCUCUUCCCACUGCUAGGCAGGGUUAUACUGGCCCAGCUAUGGGGCAUGUUUGUGAAGAUGUGGAAAUGCUUGAUUCCCUCAUGGAAGAGUUUCCUGCUCUGGGUGGAGCACAGCCACUGAACAGAGUGGGAGCUAGGUGCUCCCACAUAUGCAGUUAGCCCUGCAAAGUUACUUGGCAGAGGACGUGGCUAUAGAGAAUGGUAAAGGAUGGAGCCAUGAAUGCAGUCUCCCGCCUGAGGGUGAGUGGACCCCAAGAGCAGAGACCAGGAAGAAAGUUUGAUCUAAGAUUUUAUUAAAAGUAUUUACAAAGCCAUAUCCAGACUCCAGAUCCGGCUGCCAACAAGACCCUGUUACACUAUGGGCACUGGCCGUGGCAUGGCAGCUGCAGAAGCUGCAAGGCCGUGUCCUGCUGCUGACACCGCACACUACCUCAUCUGAGCAUCUAGAUUGUACCUCUUCUGUUUCUCUCCUGUCCGUUAACUGUGACUCUUUGGGUUGCAAGUGCCAGGAAACACAACUGCAACCUGCUAAGGGAAAAAAAAAGAAAAAGAGGGGAGACUUAUUGGCGCAGGUAACUAGACUUUCGGGCACAGCGGAAUUGGGGAGCUCAAGCAAUGUCGUCGGGACUUGUUCUCUCCUCUGCGUUAGUCUCUGUGCGUGCUGCGGCCCCAGUCUCUGCUCCCAGGACGCCUCAGCAGAAAAGGGGUUCUCUUUCUUUAUAGUUCCAGCAAAACCCCCAAGAUUACAUCCAGAUCACAUUCCCACCCGGAAGCCUAUCACAGGGACUAAGGGGUGGAGCACUACUGGCAGGCCUGGGUCAUCUGCCCACUGUGACUCGGAGUGGAGCAGCCCCCAAACCUUAGAGGCUCAAAGUGGGGGCAGAGGGGCUCUUUGAAGGAAAACAGAGAUGCCGUUAUCUGCAGCAGGAACAUGCGUGAUGUACAGGAAAAAGCAGUACAACUUCUGCCUCAUUUCUGUGCUCCCCGAAUUUAGGGAGGGUCCAGGACAGGGUCUAAGACAUGCUCCUCCUUGGUUUAUACGAUAGAUAGAUGGGGAGAUGCAUGGGUCGGGGGGACAGCGGCUACUAUCGCUCUACUGCGUCACUUGGGACAUUUGGCCAGAGCAGGGACCUGUGCCACAGGACCACUGUCUGCCCAGAACUGAGACUCCAGCAUGAGAGGCAGGAGGGCAGCGUUCUGGAAAGAGGGACAGGAGAGGGGAAAGCAGGGGUCUGGAUGGGACACUAGGAUCAGACGAGGGCCAGUAAAGAGAAUUGUGAAGCUUGACAGCGUCCUUGACUAGUGAAGCCCUGAGAGCUAGCCCUGGGUGAAAUUGCCAUGCAGGCCUGUGUGGGUGCUGGUCUGGGACCAUGCAGCCACGCUUGGAAGGGAACAGGGCAGGGGGAGGUCUCUGCAGAGGGGAUUCCCAUAUCUGGUGCUGCCUACCUGCUUUGGUCCAGCUCCCGGGCUUGGAAUCUUCCACCAAGACUCCUCAUAGGCCACAGCCAGAACUCCCCUGGGCCUCUUAGCAUCCUUUCCUGACACCUCACCAAUGGGAAGAGGAGAAGGUCCACCAGACAGGAGCUUCCCUGCCUUGUCCUGCCUGGCUUCGCCCUGGGGAUGGGGAUGGGGGUGGGGAGGAAACGCCAUGGACCCAGAGCACUCUAUCCAGCCCUCCAUCAGCUUUCCCAAGGCCCCGAGACUCCAGACCUACCCUUCCACCAGGCCUUGAAAAAGUCAGAAAACAAAAGACUGAAAAAAGUCUCUGGAUGCAGGAGUGAAAUACUGGGUCAUGAAUAUGGUAAGUCAUCUUAUUAGAAUUUGCUGAUUGAUUGAUUAUAGACUCGCUAAUCCCCUGGAUUCAAAUGUACCUGGAGAAUAGGUGAAAACUUGUGA